UACAGAGGUCUCAAGCGUUGUUCGGAUUCAUUGGGCGUAAAGGGUGCGUAGGUGGCGCGGUAAGUCGGGUGUGAAAUUUCGGAGCUUAACUCCGAAACUGCAUUCGAUACUGCCGUGCUUGAGGACUGGAGAGGAGACUGGAAUUUACGGUGUAGCGGUGAAAUGCGUAAAUAUCGUAAGGAAGACCAGUGGCGAAGGCGGGUCUCUGGACAGUUCCUGACGCUGAGGCACGAAGGUCAGGGGAGCAAACGGG
rnacentral:rRNA from 1 species